rnacentral:tRNA from 1 species
UGCUUCUAUCGUUUAAGGGUAAGACAUUGUUUUUUCGUAACAAAGAUGUGAGUUCAAUUCGCACUAGAAGUAA